rnacentral:rRNA from 1 species
UACGAAGGGGACUAGCGUUGUUCGGAAUUACUGGGCGUAAAGCGCGCGCAGGCGGUCUUCCAAGUCAGUGGUGAAAGCCCGAAGCUCAACUCCGGAACUGCCAUUGAAACUGUAAGACUUGAGGAUGAGAGAGGUGAGUGGAAUUCCCAGUGUAGAGGUGAAAUUCGUAGAUAUUCGCAAGAACACCGGUGGCGAAGGCGGCCAACUGGACCAUUACUGACGCUGAGGCGCGAAAGCGUGGGGAGCAAACAGG